rnacentral:rRNA from 1 species
ACGCUCGACACCUACUGGAGGCAGCAGUGGGGAAUAUUGCACAAUGGGGGAAACCCUGAUGCAGCGACGCCGCGUGGAGGAAGAAGGUCUUCGGAUUGUAAACUCCUGUUGUUGGGGAAAAAGAGGAUGGUACCCAACAAGGAGGUGACGGCUAACUACGUGUCAGCAGCCGCGGUAAUCUGAGCGGGCUGGCAAGGC